UACGGAGGGGGCUAGCGUUGUUCGGAAUUACUGGGCGUAAAGCGCACGUAGGCGGAUUGCUAAGUCAGGGGUGAAAUCCUGGAGCUCAACUCCAGAACUGCCUUUGAUACUGGCAAUCUCGAGUCCGGGAGAGGUGAGUGGAACUGCGAGUGUAGAGGUGAAAUUCGUAGAUAUUCGCAAGAACACCAGUGGCGAAGGCGGCUCACUGGCCCGGUACUGACGCUGAGGUGCGAAAGCGUGGGGAGCAAACAGG
rnacentral:rRNA from 1 species